AUUUGUUUUUUAUUGUUUUUUAUAUCGUUUUUUAGAGGUAUAAUUAGUUUAGUAGUGUUAACGAAACUUGAAAUGGACAAUAGUGUAUAAGUACUGUGAAGGAAAUAUGAAAUAAUUGAAAAUUUGACAAUAUAAAAGUACUGAUUUAGUUAGGUACCUUUUGUAUCAGUGGUUAUUAAAAUUGUAGUUUGAAUAUAAAGUCUCGAAAAUAAAAGAGCUAUAUAACUUUGUUAGUUUUUGUGGCAACAAAAUUUAAAAAACUUAUAUAGGAGUAAAAUAUUAAUCGAUUUUAUUAAUAUCUAGUAACUUUCUUAGUAAAUUUAGUUUAUGAUACUUUAGAAUUGGUUCUAUUAUUGGAUUAAUUUUUUUGUAUUCUUAGUCUUUAGGGGAUGAGCUCUAAAGAUAAAAUAUAAAAUUUUAUGGUUUUUGUUUUUUUAUAGGCUUAGAAUUAGCCAUUAGAUAGUGUUAUAAAAUAAAAUUUUAAGUUUAGGAUUUGGAAUUUUUUAUUUGUGUAGGAAGUUAAUGCAGAAACUUGAUUAUGUGUGAAAUGAUGAUAGUAUAAGUAGACAAAAAUUUUUUGGGGUUGUUCUGAAAAUCCCUAAUGACUUGUGUUCAGUAAGUGUAGUAAAAGAACUCGGCAAUGUAGAUUUCCGAAUGUUUAACAAAAACAUUUCUUCUCAGAAUGGGAAGUAAGGCCUGCUCACUGAAAUUUGAAGAGCCGCAGUAUUCUGACUGUGCUAAGGUAGCAUAAUCAUUAGUCUUUUAAUUGAAGACUGGUAUGAAUGGCUAAACGAGAAAUCAACUUUUUUUACUAUAACACUCUAAUUUAUUUUUUUAGUGAAAAAACUAAAAUUGUCCUAGAAGACGAGAAGACCCUAUAGAGUUUUAUAUAGUUGUAAACUUCACUGUAGUAGAUUUUUAUUAGUGGGGUUCAAAUCUAUAAUUAGUUGGGGCGACGUAAAGAUAAGAUAAACUCUUUUUUUUGAAAAUUUCUAUAGAAGAAAUGGUUUGAUCCUCUAUAAGAGAUCAAAAGAAAAAAUUACCUUAGGGAUAACAGCGUAAUCUUUUUUGAGAGUUCUAAUCGACAAGAAGGUUUGCGACCUCGAUGUUGGACUAAAAUUUAGAUGAGGCGCAGCAGCUUCAUUUUAGGGUCUGUUCGACCCAUAACAUUUUACAUGAUCUGAGUUCAGACCGGCGUGAGCCAGGUUGGUUUCUAUCUUUUGGAGAUGAAAAAUUGGUUUAGUACGAAAGGAUUAACCAGUUAUAAAUUUUAUGUUUAAGGAGUAUUGGUAAUUUAAGUUAA
rnacentral:rRNA from 1 species